GACGAACGCUGACGGCGUGCUUAACACAUGCAAGUCGAAGGGAGUGGCGAACUGGUGAGUAACACGUGAGUAAUCUGCCCUUUUCUUUGGGAUAAGCCUGGGAAACUGGGUCUAAUACUGGAUGGAUUGGUAUGGUCUCGCGGUUUAUCAGCUUGUUGGUGGGGUUAUGUCUUACCAAGGCUUUGACGGGUAGCCGGCCUGAGAGGGUGGUCCGUCACACUGGGACUGGGAUACGUCACAGACUCCGACGGGAGGCAGCAGUAGGGGAUAUUGCACAAUGGACGAAAGUCUGAUGCAGCCCUGCCGCGUGUAGGAAGAAGGCCUACGGGUUUUAAAGUACUUUCAGCGGGGAGGCAUUACCCGCAGAGGAAACACCGGCGAACUCCGUGCCAGCGGCCGCGGUAAUAC
rnacentral:rRNA from 1 species